rnacentral:rRNA from 1 species
CAGGUUGAAGGUUGGGGAACACUAACUGGAGGACCGAACCCACUGUCGUUGAAAAGCCAGGGGAUGACUUGUGGAUAGGGGUGAAAGGCUAAUCAAACUCGGUGAUAGCUGGUUCUCCCCGAAAGCUAUUUAGGUAGCGCCUCGGACGAACACCAUUGGGGGUAGAGCACUGUUUCGGCUAGGGGGUCAUCCCGACUUACCAAACCGAUGCAAACUCCGAAUACCUACAAGUGCCGAGCAUGGGAGACACACGGCGGGUGCUAACGUCCGUCGUGAAAAGGGAAACAACCCAGACCGUCAGCUAAGGUCCCAAAGUCAUGGUUAAGUGGGAAACGAUGUGGGAAGGCUUAGACAGCUAGGAGGUUGGCUUAGAAGCAGCCAUCCUUUAAAGAAAGCGUAACAGCUCACUGGUCUAAAUAAGGGUUCCUGCGGCGAAAAUGUAACGGGGCUAAAGAUAUGCACCGAAGCUUAGGGUUGCAGUUUACUGCAGCGGUAGCGGAGCGUUCCGUAGGCGAGUGAAGGCGAAGGGUAACCGACGCUGGACGUAUCGGAAGUGCGAAUGCUGACAUGAGUAGCGACAAACAGGGUGAGAUACCCUGUCGCCGAAAGACCAAGGGUUCCUACGCAAUGCUAAUCAGCGUAGGGUGAGCCGGCCCCUAAGACGAGCCCGAAGGGGGUAGUCGAUGGGAACCACGUUAAUAUUCGUGGGCCU